ensembl:miRNA Mir6323 microRNA 6323
UCUGUGAAUGCAGUGAGUGCCCAGAGCAGGAUGGAGGCCGGGGAAGGUGGCCUCACGUCCUGGAACUCCAUCUCUGGUCUGUGCAGGCAAUGUGAGGAGUCAGAC